rnacentral:rRNA from 1 species
UGCAGAGAACUUUCCAGAGAUGGAUUGGUGCCUUCGGGAACGUCUGACACAGGUGCUGCAUGGCUGUCGUCGGCUCGUGUCGUGAGAUGUUGGGUUAAGUCCCGUAACGAGCGCAACCCUUGUCCUUAGUUACCAGCACGUUAUGGUGGGCACUCUAAGGAGACUGCCGGUGACAAACCGGAGGAAGGUGGGGAUGACGUCAAGUCAUCAUGGCCCUUACGGCCUGGGCUACACACGUGCUACAAUGGUCGGUACAAAGGGUUGCCAAGCCGCGAGGUGGAGCUAAUCCCAUAAAACCGAUCGUAGUCCGGAUCGCAGUCUGCAACUCGACUGCGUGAAGUCGGAAUCGCUAGUAAUCGUGAAUCAGAAUGUCACGGUGAAUACGUUCCCGGGCCUU